rnacentral:rRNA from 1 species
CCCUUAGAUGUCCUGGGCCGCACGCGCGUUACACUGAUGCAUUCAACGAGCUUAUAACCUUGGCCGAGAGGCCUGGGCAAUCUUGUUAGCGUGCAUCGUGAUAGGGAUAGAUUAUUGAAAUUAUUAAUCUUGAACGAGGAAUUCCUAGUAAACGCAGAUCAUCAAUCUGCAUUGAUUACGUCCCUGCCCUUUGUACACACCGCCCGUCGCUACUACCGAUUGAACGGUUUAGUGAGGCCCUCGGACGUGCCCCGGGCUGGCGGGACACCGCCGGUCGCUGGUUGUUGCGCCGAAGACGGUCGAACUUGAUCAUUUAGAGGAAGUAAAAGUCGUAACA